CUAUGCGCCUUGCCAGCCCGCUCAGGUGUGCCAGCCGCCGCGGUAAUACAGAGGUCUCAAGCGUUGUUCGGAAUCACUGGGCGUAAAGCGUGCGUAGGCGGUUUCGUAAGUCGUGUGUGAAAGGCGGGGGCUCAACCCCCGGACUGCUCUGGAAACUGUACAGCUGGAGUGCAGGAGAGGUAAGUGGAAUUCCUAGUGUAGCGGUGAAAUGCGUAGAUAUUAGGAGGAACACCGGUGGCGAAGGCGGCCUGCUGGACUGUGACUGACGUUGAGGCCCGAAGGCGUGGGGAGCAAACAGG
rnacentral:rRNA from 1 species